UACGUAGGGGGCAAGCGUUGUCCGGAUUUAUUGGGCGUAAAGAGCGUGUAGGCGGUCUGGUAGGUCCGUUGUGAAAACUCGAGGCUCAACCUCGAGACGCCGAUGGAAACCCUCAGACUAGAGUCCGGAAGAGGAGAGUGGAAUUCCUGGUGUAGCGGUGAAAUGCGCAGAUAUCAGGAAGAACACCCGUGGCUAAGGCGGCUCUCUGGACAGUUCCUGACACUGAGACACGAAGGCCAGGGGAGCAAACGGG
rnacentral:rRNA from 1 species